UCAACUUCCUCUCUAUCAAAGAGGGAUAUAAUUCUGCGUAUGUCAUUGGAAUAGGAUCAAAAGUGACCUUUUUCCUUUCGUAACUCGUGCUGGUUUGAUUACUGUUUCGAGGCUGGUAGGCCUGCUGUUGUGGUCGAUGCUGUUGUUGCUGAUAUUGCUGAGGUGGUUGCUAAUUGUUGCUGUGAUGCUGAUACUGUUGAUUGUCUCUGAAAACAGGUGCUAUAUGAGCCACCUGGUGCUGG
rnacentral:lncRNA from 1 species